CAGUAGUAUUGGCCACCGCAAUCGUUUUUAGUUAGGCAUUACCAUUAUUUCUGUUGAAAUGUAGGUUUCAGCAUUACAAGUCAGGCUUGAUUAAACAUUAAAUUAGGUUGCUGAAAUAAAUCUCUUCACCUGUCAUGCUGUCUCGAAUGACUCCUCAUCGAGUUUCUAAUCGAUAUCCGACCUCACUUUUUCUUACCGUUAGCAAGUUAGCUAACGUGUCAAACGUACCCAGCAACCAGGCAUACUGCUCCCGUAAUCAAGUUUCCUGCUGGAGUCGGGCUGUUGAUUCUUGUCUAGCCCAUGAUGACUGGUUGAAAGGACAUUACAAAAUAGGCUACGCCAAUUCACCACAAGUCAAAAUCAGAUCAACAGACAGGGACAUCGGCCUUCUCUUGGGAAUAUGCCAGAUAUGCCAUAACAAGAAAAAAUGGUGUUUUGCCCCUGCGGUUGUGAAGAGGAUGCUGUGGAGGUGGCAGCAUGAACGUGUCACACAGACAUUGGCUAAACUACUCGGCUUCUACACUUGCCCUCAGAGUUCACAUAUGGUUAAGUGCACAGGUGGCCAGCCAGGUUCAGACUGAUACUGGUAACAAGAGGAAAACAUGCUGAUUGGAAUGAUUCAACGAUGGACAUUUUGCUUAAUUGUGGAAAAAAUAAAUGGAAAAACGUC